rnacentral:rRNA from 1 species
UACAGAGGCCCCAAGCGUUACUGAGAAUCACUGGGUUUAAAGGGUGCGUAGGUGGUCCGUUAAGUCUGUUGUGAGAGCCCUUGGCUCAACCAAGGAAUUGCUUCGGAUACUGGCGGACUUGAGGCUAGUAGAGGUCACUGGAACUGACGGUGGAGCGGUGAAAUGCGUAGAUAUCGUCAGGAACGCCGGUGGUGAAGACGGGUGACUGGGCUAGUUCUGACACUGAGGCACGAAAGCGUGGGGAGCGAACGGG